AGAUGCUGAGGACUUGGAUGAGGACGGGCACCAAAUCUGCAUUGUCCAUUGCUAUUUCCCAGGUUGAGUUGCUGAAGCGGCUUCAUUGUCUGGGGACAUACCCAAGGUUCGUCAUCGCGUGACGAGAAGAUUAAGGACACAGACGCAAACACGGAGCGGGUCAAGUAGCGGAAAGUUUAAUAGGCAGGAAAGAAGAGAACAGCUCACCGGUAGAGAGGGUCUUGCUCUGUCAUCCAGGCUGGAGUGCAGUGGCACAAUCAUGGCUCACUGCAGCCCCAACUUACUGGGCUCAAGUGAUCCUCCCACCUCAGCCUCCUGAGUAGCUGGGACCACAGCCGUCAAUGGUGUGCCAGAUAAGAAGCUAUGCACUGAAAAGAUGGAGAGGAGCGGCGAGAUUCUGCAUCUUAGCUUGCCUAGGUGGGGAGAUGGAGUCUUGUUCUGUUGCCCAGGCUGCAGUGCAGUAGCAUGACCUCUGCUCGCUGCAAACUCCACCUCCAGGUUUCAAGCAAUUCUCCUGCUUCAGCCUCCCGAGUAGCUGGGACUGCAGGCAUGCACCACCACACCCAGCGAGUUUUGUAUUUUCAGUAGAGAUGGGGUUUCACAUGUUGGCCAGGCUAGUCUCAAACUCCUGACCUCAAGUGAUCCUCCCUCCUUGGCCUCCCAAAGUGCUGGGAUUACACCCAGCCCCAGCAUAUUCUUUUAAUCAUAUUCAUUUGCUUAUGGUACAGGCACUUAAGUUUUUUAGAAUCCUUAAUGUCUCAUAAUGUUACCAUCUUGAAUUGUGUAAAAGUUUAAUAUCUAAAUAUGCUAAACAAAAUAUGCUGAAGAAGAAAUUAAGCUUAAUGUGUAAUGAAUGACAAAUGGAAAAGGUGGCUUAUGACGUACCUUAGAAAAUAUUCCCUAGAAAUGUGUAGAAAAGAGAAUGAUGAUGUCUAUAGACAAAAUUUGUCAGAAGAAAUGAGUCAGUUAGGUCAGCCAGUCAGUAGAUUGGCUGAGAAUCAGUAGAUCUGUUAAAUGACUGUCGUGUGUGUGUGUGUGUGUGUGUGUGUGUGUGUGUGUGUGUGUGUCAGUCAGGGGGUAGAUAGUAAAUUCUAAUAAAGAAUAUUUAGCCCAUUUGUUAUUAGACUAGUUCACCCAAUAAUGAAAAUUGUAAUCCUCCAAGUACAAAAACAAUGUUAAAAAAACUAAAUGAGCAGCUCAUGGAGGUCACACAGAUGCCUAAGCUCAACAUGUCCAUAAUUUAACAACUUUCAUCCCUUAUUCUGCUAUUUCUUCAGCAAUUUUUUUCUUGGAUAUAUAGCUCUGCCAUCUGUGUUAGCCAACCCAGAGACUUUCUUUCUUCCCCCAUAUCCAAGUUAUAAAAAUCUUACCUGCUUUAACGCAUCUCUGAUCACUAUUCUCAAAUUCUCUGCUUCAGUCACACUGAGAUUUUUCUCUUUCCCCUGGGCCUUCCCUCUUUGGGACAUGUUCUCUCUAUCCCCAUGAAUUCUUGUUAGUAAGUUUAAAGUGAGCCUAAGCAUCUGUGUUGUUAGCAAAAUUUUCAGACGAUUUUACACCCAGUCCAAGAAUCAUUUUAUUGAGACAUUCCAGUUACUUACUUUGUGCAUCUAUACUUCUGUCUUCUCCUUUCCUCUUGCUUCAGUGAUGGAUCCAUCCCUGCUUGUUUAAGAUCAACGCCUCCAUCUGCAUCUGGAUGGCAUCCCAUCUCUCCCACUCAACACAUUGUUCCUGCAAUUGCUCCCUCUCUCUAAUGCAGCAUCAAUUCUUCUCUCUCUACUUGAUGAUUCCACCAGCAUACGGACAUGCUGCCAUGGCUUCCUAUUUUAAGCAAAAUAAACAAAAUACUCUCCAGAUGCCUCUCUUUAUGGACUCUUUAAAUCACUGCCUAUAUUUAUUGCCUUCCUUUUCUCAACUCACAUUCUCUUUAAACUCACACUGACCAAUCUUUCAGACCCUCCACUUCUUGAAAAUUACUCUUGUUAAUGUGGCCAAUGACGUGUAUUAACACCCAUACUGAUACUCAGUUCACAGUUGAAACAUUUUUUUCUUAUAAAUGUUUUCUUUACAUUUAUGGUCUCUAGAUGUUGAGGUGGCUCAGGGAUCAUCUAUUUAUUUAUUUUUAUUUAUUUUUCUUUUUUUUUCUUUCACCUGUCAGCUCAUACCUAGCCGUCUUCUAUUUUUUAGGUAUGCUCACUUCCUUGAUGAUCUCGUAGAGCUCAAAGCCUCAAAUACGAUCUAUAUGCUGGUGACACUGAUAUAUAUAUAUAUAUAUUUCCAGCUUUGACCUUUCCCCUAACCUCAAGAAUUUUAUGUACAACUGCCUACCUGACAUUUCCACCUGGAUGUCUAAUACAAAUUUUCAGUUUAACAUGUCCAAAACCACACUCCUGUUUUUCUCUGCCCCCUUCUUAAUCCUGCUCCUCCCCUAGUCUUCCCCACAUCAAUAAUGACAAGUACAUCCCUUCACAACUCUAGUUUCUCAAGCUACAGUUAACUCUUCUUUCUCUUUUAUACUGUACAUCUAAUCCCUCUCUAAUUUCCAAUAGGUUGGCUUUACCUUCAAAAUACAUCCAGAAUCCAACUGCUUCUCACCAUUGCUAUUGCUACCACUCUGGUUCAAAUGACCAUCAUCUCUUGCAUUCUUGCACCCUAUAGGUUAUGCUCCUUACAACAGAUAAAAUGCCCCUUUUAAAUCAUAAUUCAGAUUAUAUUACCUCUUAGUUCAAAACCCUUCAGUGGCUCCCAUCUCAUUUACAAUAAGGGUAAUGCUUUUCCAGUAGUUCCCAAUAUUUCAAGCUAACAGACCCUCUGAUCUCAUGUCCUACCAUUGUUUCCUUCACCAAGUCUGCUUUAGCUUCACUGGCCUUCUGGAUAUUUCUUCAACACACUAGACGUGUUAUGAACUGAAUGUUUGUGUCUCCCUAAAUUAAUAUGUUGAAGCCCCUUUCUCCAAUGUGAUGAUAUGUGAAGAUGAGGCCUUUGGGAGGUAAUUAGGGUUAGAUGAGAUCAUAAGGGUGGGACUUUCAUAAUGGGAUUAGGGCCUUUGUAAGAGGAGACACCGGAGAGCUUGCUUUCUCUUUUUCUCCUGCUCAUGCAUGCACUAAGAAGGUUAUGUGAGCACAAUGAGAUGACAGCCACCUAUAAGCCAAGAGACCAGGCCUCAGAAUAAAACCUACCAUGCCAGCACCUUGAUCUUGGACUUCCAAGCUUUCAGAACUAUGAGAAAUAAAUUUAUGUUGUUUAAGCCA